CAGUCGCCGCGGUAAUACAGAGGGUGCGAGCGUUAAUCGGAUUUACUGAGCGUAAAGCGUGCGUAGGCGGCUUUUUAAGUCGGAUGUGAAAUCCCUGAGCUUAACUUAGGAAUUGCAUUCGAUACUGGGAAGCUAGAGUAUGGGAGAGGAUGGUAGAAUUCCAGGUGUAGCGGUGAAAUGCGUAGAGAUCUGGAGGAAUACCGAUGGCGAAGGCAGCCAUCUGGCCUAAUACUGACGCUGAGGUACGAAAGCAUGGGGAGCAAACAGGAUUAGAUACCCCCGUAGUCCCUGUCUCUUAUAC
rnacentral:rRNA from 1 species